rnacentral:rRNA from 1 species
AUUGAACGCUGGCGGCAUGCUUUACACAUGCAAGUCGAACGGUAACAGGCCUUCGGGUGCUGACGAGUGGCGAACGGGUGAGUAAUGCAUCGGAACGUACCCAGAGGUGGGGGAUAACGCAGCGAAAGCUGUGCUAAUACCGCAUGUGAUCUGAGGAUGAAAGCGGGGGACCGAGCAGCAAUGUUUGGCCUCGCGCCUUUGGAGCGGCCGAUGUCGGAUUAGCUAGUUGGUGGGGUAAAGGCCUACCAAGGCGACGAUCCGUAGCUGGUCUGAGAGGACGACCAGCCACACUGGGACUGAGAAACGGCCCAGACUCCUACGGGAGGCAGCAGUGGGGAAUUUUGGACAAUGGGCGCAAGCCUGAUCCAGCAAUGCCGCGUGCGGGAAGAAGGCCUUCGGGUUGUAAACCGCUUUUGGCAGGAACGAAACGGUGUCCGCUAAUACCGGGCGCUAAUGACGGUACCUGCAGAAUAAGCACCGGCUAACUACGUG